GCGGGGCCUGGGAGCCUCGGGGCGGGACAGGACGGUCGAAACCGAAGUCCUGGCGCGCGGGGCCCAGGGGCGGGGCCUAGGGGCCUCGGGGCAGGACAGGACGGCUGAAACCGAGGUCUCGGCGCGCGGGGCCCAGGCGCCGUGCAGUGAGAGCACGCCGCUUGACCGAAGGGGCGGGGCCUGAGGGCUGAGGGCUGAGCGCAGUCGCGAGGCUCAAGUUGGCAGGAGAGCGGGCGGGUCCUGAAGCCCCUCUGGGCUGCCUGGACGGAUGAAGUCCAGGUGGAAAGCCCGUCGACGUUUCCCGGGAGCUACGACUCCAGAGACCCUCAUCCGAGCUUAACCGUUGGAACAAUCACAAACCCAGAAACUUUUAGCUGAGUGUUAUUUAUAAAAAGCGCUGUUUUGACUACUGUUGGACUUCGAAAAGCUUUGCCCACGAUACUGAAGCGUUAUUGGCUGCCUGCUUUUCAAAAUUAUGUGAUGACUUCAUGGGAAAAGAGAUUCACAAGAACCAGUAACAGGAAAGCUUAAAUAAGCUUGGAAAUCUUUAAACUUUCAAUAUGGCAUGGGAAGAUGUGCCUUGCUUUUCCUUCGCCUUCCUCCAUGAUCAUAAGUUUCCUGAGGCCUCCCAGUUAUGCUUCCUGUUAAGCCUGCAGAACUGGGACCUUGGUUAGCCAAAGUCAAGAAUGAGCUGUCAACAGUUUCCCAAAGGAAAACAAUGUGAAGGAAAAUGCCAAAGCAAUUGGGGAAAAAAAUACUGUUUUCUCUGAAAUGAAGACUCCUCAAGAUCCUGUUGCUGGAAUGAGUAUUGAACUCUUCGGUCUACUUCUACAGUCACCAGUACAUCUGGCAUACACUAUGAUGCCCAACAGUAGGGAGAUGAAAGAAAUGUAGAUGUUGGCAUUUCUAAAAGAGAUGUUGUAUCUUUUUUCCUACUUAAUAGACUAUUAGGCUAUAAAUCUCAAUCUUGGCCAGCAAAUGUGUUUGCCAGCUUUUCUUUAUUCUUUUUAAUUUUUUUUUAGGAUCAGCAUGGAAAAACAAUUUGAGCAAGGCUCAAGAAGCUGAGAUGAUCUUAUAAACAGUAAUUGAAAUAUGUAUAUUUUUUAAAAGUCUGUUUUGAAUUUCAAACCUUAUUUUAAAAACUAUGUGAAAGCCUCUUGUGAAACUCAACUGAAGUAGGCAUGGCUGAGUCCAGAGGAGCAGUGUGGAGGAUUAGAAAAAUAAACAGGCAGGAGUCAGACAGUCCUGGAUUCAAAUCCCACUUCUAGGCCUUAGAGAAAUAAUAUAAUAGUAGGGGAUAAUAAUAUUCACCCUGAAGAGUGCUGUAGGGAUCAUCAAUAUUUCAUAUAAAGCAUGUCAUAUGGGCAGUGCUCAAUGAAUGGCAAUGCUUUUGCCCAGGUAUAGAACUUCUUAGUAUAAAAGUUUUGUCUUUCAGAAAAUUAACAAAGAUAUUCAGGACCGGAAUUCAGCUCUGGAUCAAGUAGACCUGAUAGAUAUCUACAGAACUUUCUAUCCCAGAACAACAGAAUGUACAUUUUUCUCAUUGCCACAUGUCACUUACUCUAAAAUCAAUCACAUAAUCAGAAGUAAAACACUCCUCAGUAAAUGCAAAAGAACUGAAAUCAUAACAGUCUCUCAGACCACAAUGCAAUUAAAUUAGAACUCAAGAUUAGGAAAUUCAGUCAAAACCACACAACUACAUGGAAAUUGAACAACCUUUUCCAGAAUGACUCUUGGGUAAAUAAUGAAAUUAAGGCAGAAAUCAAGAAGUUCUUUGAAACUAAUGAGAAAAAGGGAGAAUGUACCAGAAUCUCUGGGACGCAGCUAAAGUAGUGUUAAGAGGGAAAUUUAUAGCACUAAAUGCCCACAUCAAACAGCUAGACAGAGCUCAAGUUAAUAACCUAACAUCUUAACUAAAAGAACUUAGAGAACCAAGAGCAAAUAAACCCCAAAGCUAGCAGAAGAUAAGAAAUAACCAAGAUCAGAGCUGAACUGAAGGAGAGACACAAAAAAUCCUUAAAAAAAUCAACGAAUCCAGGAGCUGUUUUUUGAAAAAAUUAAUAAAAUAGACAACUAGCUAGAUUAACAAAUAAGAAAAGAGAGAAGAGUCAAAUAAACACAAUCAAAAAUGAUAAGGGGGAUAUUACCGCUGACCCCAUAGAAAUACAAACAACCAUCAGAGAAUACUAUGAACACCUCUAUGCAAAUAAACUAGAAAAUGUAGAAAAAAUGGAUACAUUUCUGGACAUAUAUACCCUCCCAAGACUGAGCCAGGAAGAAAUUGAAUCCCUGAAUAGACCAAUAACAAGUUCUGAAAUUGAGGCAGUAAUAAAAAUCUUACCAACAAAAAGAGCCCAGGACCAGAUGGAUUCACAGCUGAAUUCUACCAGAGUAUAAAGAAGAGCUGGUACAGUGUCUGCUAAAAUUAUUCCAAAUAAUUGAAAAGGAGAGACUCCUCCCUAACUAAUUCUAUGAGGCCAGCAUCAUCUGAUACCAAAACCUGGCAGAGAUACCAAAAAAAAAAAAAAAAAAAAAAAGAGGCUGUGCAUGAUGGCUCAUGCCUGUAAUCCCAGCACUUUGGGAGCCCAAGGUGGGUGGAUCACCUGAAGUCAGGAGUUCAAGACCAGCCUGCCCGGUAGAGACAUGGUGAAACCCUGUCUCUACUAAAAAUACAAAAAAUUAGCCAGGCAUGUGGCAGGCACCUGUAAUCCCACCUACUUGGGAAGCUGGGGCAGAAGAAUUGCUUGAACCCGGGAGGCAGAGGUUGCGGUGAGCUGAGAUCGUGCCACUGCACUCCAGCCUGGGCGACAGAGCGAGACUCUGCCUCAAAAAAAAAAAAAAAAAAAAAAAACAAAAAACUUCAGGCCAAUAUCCUUGAUGAACAUCGAUGCAAAAAUUCUCAAUAAAACACUGGCAAACUCCAGUUUGCACAUCAAAAAGCUUAUCUGCCACAAGUUGGCUUUCAUCCCUAGGAUGCAAGGUUGGUUCAACAUAUACAAAUCAAUAAAUGUGAUUUAUCACAUAAACAGAACUAAAGACAAAAACUGCAAGAUUAUCUCAAUAGACGCGGAGAAGGCAUUUGAUAAAAUUCAGCAUCCCUUUUGUUAAAAACUCAAACUAGGUAUUGAAGGAACAUACCUCAAAAUAGUAAGAGAUGUAUAUGGCAAACCCACAGCCAAUAUCAUACUGAAUGGGCAAAAUCUGGAAGCAUUCCCCCUGAAAACUGGCACAAGACAAGGAUAUGCUCUCUCACCACUCCUAUUCAACAUAGUAUUGGAAGUUUUCGCCAGAGCAAUCAGGCAAGGUAAAGAAAUAAAGGUAUUCAAAUAGGAAGAGAGAAAGUCAAAUUAUCUUUGUUUGCAGUUGACAUGAUCCUAUAUCUAGAAAACCCCAUUGUCCAGCCCAAAAGCUUCUUAAGCUCGGAUAAGCAGCUUCAGCAAAAUCUCAGGAGACAAAAUCAAUGUCUCAAAAUCAUUCCUAUACACCAACAGCAGGCAGGCAGAGAGCCAAAUCAUGAAUGAACUCUCAUUCACAAUUGCUACAAAAAGAAUAAAAUACCUAGGAAUACAGCUAACGAAGUGAAGGACCUCUUCAAGAGAACAACAAACCACUGCUCAAAGCCAAUCAGAGAGAACACAAACAAAUGGAGAAACAUUCCAUGCUCAUGGAUAAGAAGAAUCAAUAUCGUGAAAAUGGCCAUACUGCCCAAAGUAAUUUACAGAUUCAAUGCUAUUCCCAUUAAACUACCAUUGACAUUCUUCACAGAAUUAGAAAAAAAUUUUAAAAUUCAUAUAGAACCAAAAAAAGAGAUGGAAUAGCUAAGACAAUCCUAAGUAAAAAGAACAAAGCUGGAAGCAUCACACUAUCCAACUUCAAACUAUACUACAAGGCUAUAGUAAUCAAAAAAGCAUGGUACUGGUACAAGAACAGACACAUAGACCAAUGGAACAGAAUGGAGAACUCAGAAAUAAGAGCACAUACCUACGACCAUCUGAUCUCUGACAAACCUGACAAAAACAAACAAUGGGGAAAAAAGAUUCCCUAUUUAAUAAAUGAUUCUGGGAGAACCGGCUAGCCAUAUGCAGAAAAUUGAAACUGGACCCCUUUCUUACACCAUAUUCAAAAAUUAACUCGAGAUGGAUUAAAGCCUUAAAUGUAAAACGCAAAACUAUAAAAACCCUAGAAGAAAAUCUAGGCAAUACCAUUCGGGACAUAGGCAUGGGCAAAAAUUUCAUGAUAAAAAUGCCAAAAACAAAGCAAUUGCAACAAAAGCAAAAAUUGACAAAUGGGAUCUAAUUAAACUAAAGAGCUUCUGCAUAGAAAAGGAAACCUUCAUCAGAGUGAACAGACAACCUACAGAAUGGGAGAAAAAUUUUGCCAUCUGUCUGUCUGACAAAGGUCUAAUAUCCAGAGUCUUUAAAGAACUUAAAUUUACUGGGGAUUGGAGGGGAAAGAAAACAUUAAAAAGUGGGCAAAGGGCAUGAACAGACACUUCUAAAAAGAAGACAUACAUGCAGCCAAUAAACACAUGAAAAAAAGCUCAACAUCACUCAUCAUUAGAGAAAUACAAACCAAAACCACAAUGAGAUACCAUCUCAAAAUAGUCAGAAUGGCUAUUAGUAAAAAGUCAAAAAGCAAUAGAUGCUGGCGAGGUUGCAGAGAAAAAGGAGUGCUUUUACACGGUUAAUAAGAAUGUAAAUUAGUUCAACCAUUGUGGAAGACAGUAUGGUGAUUCCUCAGAGAUCUACAGGCAGAAAUGCCAUUUCACCCAGCAGUCUUAUUACUACAUAUAUACCCAAAGGAAUAUAAAUAAUUUUGUUAUAAAGAUACAUGCACAUGUAUGUUCACUGCAGUACUACUCACAAUAGCAAAGAUAUGGAAUCAACCUAAAUGUCCAUCAAUGAUAGACUGGAUAAAUAAAAUGUGGUACAUAUACACCAUGGAAUACUAUGCAGCCAUAAAAAGGAAUGAGAUCAUGUCCUUUGCAGGGAGAUGGAUGGAGCUGGAAGCCAUUAUCCUCAGCAAACUAAUGUAGGAACAGAAAACCAAAUACUGCACGUUCUCCCUUAUAAGUGGGAGCUGAAUGGUGAGAAUACAUGGACACAUGGUGGGGAACAACACACACUGGGGCCUGUCAGAGCGCAGAGGAUGGAAGGAGGGAGAGCAUGAGGAAGAACAGCUAAUGGACGCUGGGCUUAAUACCUAGGUGAUGCGUUGAUAUGUGCAGCAAACCACCAUGGCACAUGUUUACCGAUGUAACAAACCUGCACAUCUGGCACAUGUACCCCUGAACUUAAAAUAAAAGUUGAAGAAAAAUAAUAAUAAAAUAAAAAAGUAACCACUAACAUAUGUCAAAAAAGAAAGAAAAGUUUUGUCAUCAUAUUUAGAUUUGUGAACAGUAUUUGUAAACAUUAAUUGUUUUUAAAAAUUGUUUAGCCUAUAGACAAGCACGUCGUUUAAAAAUAUUUUUCUUUGAGCUAUAACUACUUGGUUGACAGCAGACAUGCACGUGACAUCAGCAUUAUUAUCCUGAUUUGAUAGAUGAGAAAACUAAAUUGACCUGAAGUUAAGAGGAUUAUCCAGAAUGUUGCAUCUGGCGAUAGUUACUACUUCUAAACUCCUUUUAAAGACCUGUGAUUUAGAUACCAUAAAAUACCUGCCACUGUGAAGAAACAGGAUAUAAAGUGCAUUUUUAUACAAAGAGUAACAGAAGUUGCAAUACAGGACACUUUUGUGUUAGUAACUUUACCAUGUCGGGCAGCAUCGUAUUUUGACAUGUUAACUCGCAGAAGGAAAUUAUUCAGGCUGUUGAGGUAAGCUGGAAGGGAGUGAUAGCCUUCCGGAUCAUACCAUACCUAUUAAAUUCCAAAAGAAGGCAAGAUCAAUAUUGUGUUCAAAUAAAUUAGGCUGUCUUAACAUCUGACAGCUAUCUUAUUUAUAUUUAAAAUAAGAGCAUCAAUUUUCCAAUAAUUUAUUUUAUCUUGGAAGAUUAUGCACUGUUCUCUAGAGUAUUGACCAUAGGCCUAUAAAUUUCCAAUUUAGAAACAGGCAGAAAUUGGGAAGAGAGUUGUUCUGUGGAUAGCACUAAAUUAUUAGUUAUUCAGGAUCUCUUCUAGGCAAAGCUUGAAAUAAACUGGAGAAAUCAUUAUCUACAUCCCUGUGGCAAAUCCAUGGGAUUCUGAGACUAGAACUAAGGUAUCCUGGCUGCCAAUAAUGGUAAUAAAAACUAAUGGAAUAGACCAAGCUGGAGAAAUAAAUAAAAUACUUAUACACGCAUGGUGUCCUUAGCACAAGAUUGAAAGCCUUGACAUUCCUCCACUAAUUUUUGAUUCCUAAUUAUAACCUACCAAAUGGGGCGCGAUUUUACCUUCUAUGUCAUAAACAGAGAGAUUUAAUAUACUGGUGAACCUCAAUUCAAGAAACCCAAUUACUAAUUCAAAAUAGCAAAGUUGAUUUGGAGAGAAAUGAUUUUAUAUUAGAAAUCCACGUUUGUGCAAGAAUAUUUACUGUGUGUGUGGAGAGAGAGAAGAGAGGAAGAAAAGGAAAGCACUGAAAUCCCCAGCACCACUAAUUACUUUCUAUAUGAUUUACUGUAAAAAUCAGCUAAAAUAGACUCAGUAAUAUUUAUCACACAGGGAUGCUGUGAGCAGAAAAUUAGGUAGUUUGUGUAAAAGAUGAUACUCGUGGUUGGCACAUAAUCGUCACGAAAUGGACAUUAGUUCCCCCACUUUCCCAAAGACUGUGUAUGUCUCUUACUACCAGAUGAGAAAUAUGUGUAGACAAUUUUAAAUCCCUAUGACUGCCAUUGAUCACAUAGGUAAGAAUAUGCAUCUGAUCCCGUGACUCUACCUCAUUUUAGGUAUAAUCUAAAAGGAAAAAUAAGUGAGCAGAAUUAUUUAUCUCCAUUAAAUUUGGUUAAAGUUUCCAGGUUCUUUAAGAAGCAAGGCUAAACAUAUACGUUUUCAUUUCUAAAUAGUUAUGACAUAUACACAAGAAAAGUGCAGGUAAUAAAGUAUAGUGUUACCAAAAAAAAUUCUGAAGGAAGUACAUCCCUUAAACUAUACACGGGUUGAGAAAUAAGAAUUGCCAGCCUCCAGAAUGCCUUUUCCCUGAUCCUCCAUGUCCUUCCAAAUCACAAUACCCUCCCUUUCCCCUAACAAACGGUUGAGUUUUGCCUAUAAACUCUCAAAGUUUACAGUAAAUGUAAUCAUAGUCAAUGUAUUCCUUUUUGUCUUUUCUUUCCUUAUUAAUAAUGUUUGGGAGAUUUAACUUGCUUGUUAUAUGGAGCUGAGUUCCUUCAUUUCCAUUGCUGAAAGUUUUAUUGAAUGAAUAUGAAACAGUUUAUUUCUAUAUUCUGCAUGUGGGCAUUUUGGGUUGCGUUUUUGGCUAUUAUGAGAAAUGCUACUAUGUAUACACAUUUGUACGUGUGUCCUGAUGCUAAUGUGUACAUGUUUCCCUAGGGUACAUACACAGAAUUGGAACCACUGUGCCCUGGGUUAUGCACAAUGCCAAAUCAAUUGUACCCAUAUUUUGUUUUCACUUCAUGAAAAUGAUUAAACAUAUCAAUUUCACCUUCUCAUUUGUAUGACAUUCCAGAAAAAAGAUCAAAAUUUACCUUGGCAAGUGUUCUAUUGGCAGGGACUCCUGUUAUAUCAAAACGAAGGUCUUUUGUCAAAGGCAGCCCAAAACUCC